rnacentral:rRNA from 1 species
CCUACGGGAGGCAGCAGUGGGGAAUAUUGGGCAAUGGGCGCAAGCCUGACCCAGCAACGCCGCGUGAAGGAAGAAGGCUUUCGGGUUGUACACUUCUUUUAUGAGGGACGAAGGAAGUGACAGUACCUCAUGAAUAAGCCACGGCUAAAUACGUGCCAGCAGCCGCGGUAAUACGGAGGUGGCGGGCGUUAUCCGGAUUUACUGGGUGUAAAGGGCGUGUAGGCGGGCUUGCAAGUCCAAUGUGAAAACUAUGGGCUCAACCCAUAGCCUGCAUUUGAAACUGUAGGUCUUGAGUGAUGGAGAGGCAGGCGGAAUUCCGUGUGUAGCGGUGAAAUGCGUAGAUAUACGGAGGAACACCAGUGGCGAAGGCGGCCUGCUGGACAUUAACUGACGCUGAGGCGCGAAAGCGUGGGGAGCAAACAGGAUUAGAUACCCCUGUAGUC